GGCUAGAGCUCAAACCUUUGGAGUUAGGACUCGGACGUGAACUUGUGGCUGAGCAGGCCCGGUGUUAGAGAUGGCUUCGGCUGCACGCCCAGCGAAGGGUUUCCCGGAGAAGGGAGCUCGGCGGUCUGGCCUCAGGCCGGCCGCCCUGGAACUUUAAAGCAGCUCUCAGAAUCCGCUGGCUUCCAGGAUUCUGAGCCUCACCUCUCCCGGUGUCAGAAUUCCUGCACUAGGUCAGUGAUUCGCUCAGUCCUCAGCAGAGAUGAGAUGCCUCUUGAAGUCGAUGAAAAGAACACAGAGACCUUCUACUGGGCAAUGCUUAAGAGUGAGAGACCUUGAAGCAGGAGACCUAAAUGGAAUGUCUUCAUUCAAGUGUUCCCCUCAGGGCUCAAGGAAGUAGGUGGAAGAGGAAGCAGAAACAUUUUAAGAGCCAAAGGUGAUGGAUCAAUCCAAGGAAGCAGUGUCUUACAUAAGACACAACAGGACUGAUGCAUGUAUGAAUGCAGAGACCAUGGCAGCAUGCACAAGGCCUGCACAGGUUCAGCCCAAACAAGCUACCAUCCCUGAGAGGGGGAAGUAGACAUAAGCUCUCAUCCAUAAUUAAGAAGCAAUGUAUACUUUUUACCUUCUGGCAAAGGGAAAAUCAGUUUUCUUCAAUGGAGUGUCAUUUGGUAUAAGUGAGUAUACAGACUAAAGACACCUUAGGGCAGGGUCCAUGGUCAGAAGUAAGGAUGUGAGGAGGACUGGGGAUGAAUUGGAGGAGAAAGAAAAAAAAUGAUCAGAAAAUGUUGCAUGAAGUUUUUGAAAAACAGUUAAAAAUAAAAACAAACAAACAU